rnacentral:lncRNA from 1 species
UUAGGAUUAGCUAGGUAGCAAUUUAGUGUACGUUUUACUUUUUCUUAAAUUGAUUAUUAUUUACUAGCGGAUCAGGCAGCCGCGUUCCGCGUCUGCAUGUGUCUAACUUAUGUUCAAAAAAAAAGAUAGCCUUAUAUUAUGGUCAGUUUGUUAAUAAAAGAUUUUUGCUGAUAAAAAAAUAUAUGUUUUAUGUUAUUACGAGUUUGUUAAUAAAAUAUUUUUGUUACUACUAAAAAAAAUCAAG